rnacentral:rRNA from 1 species
ACACCGGCAGCUCAAGUGGUAGCCGCUUUUAUUGGGCCUAAAGCGUCCGUAGCCGGUCUGAUAAGUCUCUGGUGAAAUCCCACAGCUUAACUGUGGGAAUUGCUGGAGAUACUAUCAUGACUCGAGGUCGGGAGAGGCUGGAGGUACUCCCAGGGUCGGGGUGAAAUCCUGUAAUCCUGGGAGGACCACCUGUGGCGAAGGCGUCCAGCUGGAACGAACCUGACGGUGAGUAACGAAAGCCAGGGGCGCGAACCGGAUUAGAUACCCGGGUAGUCCUGGCCGUAAACGAUGUGGACUUGGUGUUGGGAUGGCCUCGAGCUGCCCCAGUGCCGAAGGGAAGCUGUUAAGUCCACCGCCUGGGAAGUACGGUCGCAAGACUGAAACUUAAAGGAAUCGGCGGGG